rnacentral:tRNA from 1 species
UAGCUUAGUGGUUAAGAGCACUAGACUGUUCUUCCAGAGGUCCUGAGUUCAAUUCCCAG